rfam:Caldalkalibacillus thermarum TA2.A1 ctg242, whole genome shotgun sequence.
CUGUGCUAGACGGGGAGGUAGCGGUGCCCUGUAACCCGCAAUCCGCUAUAGCGGGGUCGAUGCCUAUCUGAGGUUUGCACUAUGUGAGGUCUGGCUCAUGUGCGCGGCGUUGACGAAAGGGUCCUAUGCAACGGAAGCCCAUGAACCCCGUCAGGUCCGGAAGGAAGCAGCGGUAAGUGGGUCUCUCCGUGUGUUGUAGGGUAGCCUUUUCCGAGCUGGCGGCAUGAGUACGCUCAGGUAGUGCUUAUCGAGGAUAGGUGCACAG